GACGAACGCUGGCGGCGUGCCUAAUACAUGCAAGUCGAACGCUUCUUUCCUCCCGAGUGCUUGCACUCAAUUGGAAAGAGGAGUGGCGGACGGGUGAGUAACACGUGGGUAACCUACCCAUCAGAGGGGGAUAACACUUGUAAACAGGUGCUAAUACCGCAUAACAGUUUAUGCCGCAUGGCAUAAGAGUGAAAGGCGCUUUCGGGUGUCGCUGAUGGAUGGACCCGCGGUGCAUUAGCUAGUUGGUGAGGUAACGGCUCACCAAGGCCACGAUGCAUAGCCGACCUGAGAGGGUGAUCGGCCACACUGGGACUGAGACGCGGCCCAGACUCCUACGGGAGGCAGCAGUAGGGAAUCUUCGGCAAUGGACGAAAGUCUGACCGAGCAACGCCGCGUGAGUGAAGAAGGUUUUCGGAUCGUAAAACUCUGUUGUUAGAGAAGAACAAGGACGUUAGUAACUGAACGUCCCCUGACGGUAUCUAACCAGAAAGCCACGGCUAACUACGUG
rnacentral:rRNA from 1 species